rnacentral:rRNA from 1 species
AUUGAACGCUGGCGGCAGGCCUAACACAUGCAAGUCGAACGAGUGGCGGACGGGCGAGUAAUGUCUGGGAAACGGCAUGACGGAGGGGGAUAACUACUGGAAACGGUAGCUAACACCGCAUACCAUUAGAUGUGCCAAGAUGGGAUUAGCUUGUUGGUGGGGGAACGGAUCACCAAGGCGACGAUCCCUAGCUGGUCUGUGAGGAUGACCAGCCACACUGGAGCUGAGAGACGGUCCAGACUCCUACGGAAGGCAUCAAUGGGGAAUAUUGCACAGUGGGCGCAAGCCUAAUGCAGCCAUGCCGCGUGUAUGAAGAAGGCCUUCGGAUUGUAAAGUACUUUCAGCGGGGAGGCGUUACCCGCAGAAGAAGCACCGGCUAACUCCGUGCCAGCAGCCGCGGUAAUAC